GACGAACGCUGGCGGCGUGCCUAACACAUGCAAGUCGAGCGAGGUAUUUGCGACUGAUUCCUUCGGGAAGAAGCUGCAAAUCACCUAGCGGCGGACGGGUGAGUAACGCGUGAGGAACCUACCUCCUACAAAGGGAUAGCCUCGGGAAACUGGGAUUAAUACCUUAUGACACUUAAGAGUCGCAUGACUUUUAAGUUAAAGCGUUUUAGCGGUAGGAGAUGGCCUCGCGUCCCAUUAGCUAGUUGGUGAGGUAACGGCUCACCAAGGCGACGAUGGGUAGCCGGCCUGAGAGGGUGGACGGCCACACUGGAACUGAGACACGGUCCAGACUCCUACGGGAGGCAGCAGUGGGGAAUCUUCGGCAAUGGGCGGAAGCCUGACCGAGCGACGCCGCGUGAGGGACGAAGGCCUUCGGGUUGUAAACGUACCUCGUCGUCGGGGUACGGGGACGGUAAGGGUAACGGGUAACCCCGGGUACCCCGGGGAACGGAACCCGGGCCCGGUAACCGUAACCGUACGGUCCGACCGACGACGACCGGCCGGGUAAACGGUAAACGGUAAGGUAACGUAACCGUACGAGGAACGUACGUCCGAACCGGAACGGAACCCG
rnacentral:rRNA from 1 species